UAAAUGUCAUAAUAGAAUCAUAUUAUAAAAUUUGCGAAAAGGGUUCAAAUUGAUGACGAUUCUUCACAAUUUUAGUCGUCAACGUUUCGGAGAAACCUCUCAAUACAUAAAUCACUAUACGAUCAACGAUCAAUUUCAUAACAAGUCACAAACUUACCCUUAUAGCAGAAAUGUUGAAUCGCUUUCAAAAGCAAAAUCCUAGAACAAUGACAAUGAAAAACCUAAUUUUUUUUUCUAAAUGAUUACUUGUGUCAUUUUAUGCUUUAUAACCCUGUCUUUUAUUUUUUAACAAUGACAAUGAAAAACCUAAUAUUUUUUACACCUGUCUUUUAAGAUUUUCUUUUUUGAAAAAAAUUGUUUACUUUAAAAACUAAAAAAGAAAACAUCUUUUUAUUGAAAAAUAUGUAACUGUAUACAAUUUUGGUUUUGUCAUAAACCCAAUAAGAUAUAAUUUGUUCAAUACACGUGACAACUCCCUUUUUUAGUUUGGAAAUCUGAGUACAACUUUUAUCCGCUAAAACUAUUUCUUAAUUUAUUUUAUUUUUUUCUUCAAGCACAAUAUCUUUCACCUUCUUCCCCACUAUCCCGUAAAUCCAGCCAUCAACUUCACGAUCUGAUACUCUAUCAUCAAUUACCUCUCUUAUAUAUACAAAUAUGAAAACCUAUCGCCGGAAAAAACCCACUAUCGUUUUAGCAAAAGGUAUUGUUCUAGCUAUGAGCAAGAUGAAGCUUGCCUUCACUCCUGUUGCUCAGUUAAAGCCAGAUUCUGAAAACGAAAUCUGGAAAAUUAAGGUUCGAGUAGUCCGUAUGUGGCGAUUUCAGAAUGGCGUUAAGCCUGGAGAUGUUGGUGGAAUCGAUUUAAUACUUUUGGAUGAUAAGUUACAUUAUAGAAUCCUGAGUUGUUUAUGUUUAUAUGCUUCUGAUAAUGGUUCUAUCAUGUUCUAACAGGGAGAUCGUAUUCAAGCUUGCAUUAGAGGAAAACUGAUAUCCAAGUUCGAGGACGAUUUGGGAGAAGGAAAAUGUUGUAUUCUGAUGAACUUUAAGUUGUCUCCUAAUCUCGGGAAUUACAGAGGAACACUACAUCCUUUCAAGAUAUUUUUCACUUGGUCAACACACGUUAAGAAGAAUUGCGAGAAGAUUCCAAACGAUUCACUUCGUUUUAAUUGCAUAUCUUUUGAUGACCUUCUUUCACAGAAGCACGAUGAGAAAGUUUUUGUAGGUAUGUGAUUUAACCGACAGUUAUAUAUAAUGGUUUAGAUUUUGUUUUAUGUAUUUAUGAAAUCUUUUUUGCUUCCACAGAUGUAAUUGGAGAAAUUGUUGGACCUUGCGAUCUGAAAGAAAUUACAGUUCGUAAUGCUCCAUGUAAAAUUUUAAAUUUUCAACUCAAGGAUUGUGGGUAAGUUUUCUUGAAAUUUGUAACUAUGCUUUUUAAAGUGUAUUGAUAUUGACCGUUUUUUAAAACAUGUUUUUUUUGUAGUGAUUCAAUCAUUAAUUGUAUAUUUUGGGAAAAAAUAUGUUGAAGACAUCCAUUCCUAUGUUCAAUCCUUUUUUGGUGGAGUUAUAGUUCUGCUUUGCAGUCUUAUGAGAAUUAAUAUUUAUAAUGGUAAAUCUGUUCAUAUUACUAUACUUUUAUUAAAAAAGACAAAUAUUAAUGUAUGUCAUUUGUUUUUGAAAGAAAACUCACUAUCCAAAGUGGGAAAGCUUCAACAAAGUUGUUCAUUAAUUCUGACAUUGCUGAGAUAAAUGAAUUCAAAGAAAAAAUGUCAAAAGAUGUUAUGUCGACAACAUCAUCUGGCUCCCUUUUGACUUUGUCAAAUUGUACCCAAGUUUCUUCGGAUCAUAUUCCAUUUGACAAUCGCAAAACAAUUUCUCAGCUGUUAGCAUCAUAUGAGGUAAGUUGUAUUUUGUACUCUUUCAUCAAGUUUUUUAAUCAGUUACAUAGGCAGCCAUUUCAUUUAAAUUUUCUCUUUAUCUGUAGGAAACAAGGUGUUGUAGAUAUGCAACAAUAUGUGCACUUAAAAUUGAGGCUCCUUGGUGGUAAACCCCUACUUAAACCCUGAAACUGAAGAAAUAGAAAUGGAUAAGUUCUCAUGUGACGGAUGCGAGACAAUUGUUUGUUCUACAAAAACAAGGUUUGUCAUUAAGCAAUGUAUAUCAUCUUUUUUUUUGUCAGUAUGCUAAACUAUAAUUUAUUUUCACAGAUAUCAGGUUCAUUGUAAAGUCUUGGAUCAUACAGAAACCACUUCUUUUGUAAUGUUUGACAGGGAAGUCAUUCAACUAAUUCACAAAUCGGCAUAUGAGUUGUUGGAGCAACAAGUUCAGGUAAAAUAGAUCUUUUAUUCAUCUUAAUAUCUAAACUUAUUUAUUGUUUUAAUGUAUUUUUGCAGUUCAACGGUAGGAAUGAAUUCCCUAGAGAAUUCAACAGCAGUAAAACACAUGUCAAUCACAUUGAUGCUUAAGCUUACCUUGAUUUUAUGUAUAUAUUAGGAUCUAUAAAUAUCUCUGCAACUUUGUACAGCUGAUUUUAACAAUGAAAUUGGUUUGUCUUGGGUUAAUUAGACUGCAUACAAGUGAUCAUGCUUCUCUAAUUCAAAUUGAUUAUCUAUCUUAGAUUUUAUUUGUGAAUCAAGUUACAAUUUACAAUCAGAAAACAACCUAAUGAAAAAGUCCAUGAAAUGUUACCGAUAAUCCUAAUAUUGAUAUAUAUGUAACACUUAAGAUGAUUUAUUUACCUCGAUUUUAUCAAAUCGUUCAUUUAAUAAAACAAAUGACAGAGAUAGUAAAAAUCAUGAACCUAGGAUGUGGCGAUCAUAUGGAUGUGUCGAUGCCACCUCUAGGAAAUAAAGCCGCAUCCGUAUCAGUUUUGAAAAUUAAAUUAGUCAAAGGCUGAUAAGAUUUACAAAAUAGCUCACCUCAGCUCAGAAAUACCCUUUAUACUUGAGACGUGAUGUCUUAACAGGAAAAUAUGAAACAUGAAAAUAAGCAAUAAGAAAGGAAGCCAUUAAUAAUGUGAUGAUCGUGGAGAAAAGAAAAUGAACAAGGCAAGAAGAAAACGUGAGUGACUUUUCACAAAAUAAUGACAAUUGGAAAUAAUCUUCACUUUGAUCUUCCCCAAAUAUUUCUGCAACUCCUAAGAACCUAAUUUCCUAAAUUUAUUCUCAUCUUCAUGUUAAAAGUUAAAUUUUUAUAUAUUCAGUUGCAUAUAAAUAAAUGAUAACAAAUUUAAUGUUACUAAGCAGUUUCAAAUUUCAAUUUUUUUUAAUUUAUACAGUUAAUUUUGUAUAAUAUUAAGAAAUCAUUUACUAAUUAUAUAUGGAAUCUUAUUUUUAUCCUAUUGGCAAUGCCCGUGCAUUGAACUGCAGUUAUGAAUCAUCAAAAAUAAUUUUGUUGUGCACUCUCAAUUGCAUCCUCAAUAACCAUAUCAAUAGACACAGUUUUAUUUUUAUCUCUACAGCUUCCACAAUUUCAGAAUGAGGUAUAUCUCCAAUCCGAAUUCCGGUUCGGCUUUUUGGGUUUCGUUAUUUUGGUUUAAAAAAAAAUAGCUACCAUAUUAAAACCAUAUCUACUUUGGUUUGGUUUGGUUUAUAUACUGUCGGUUUUCCGGUUACUACCAAAAACUAUGAAUAUAUUCACUUUUAUGACAUUUUAUGAAUUUUACUUUAUUUGAUUAGAUAUCGGCUUUAUUAAAACAUGAAAAUAAUUAGUAACCAUAUUUAGUUAAUAAUAAUAUCUUAAUAGAAUAAAAAUAAGAAAAUAGUAAUUCAUUAUAUUAUUAAAUAAGUAAAUGGUAGCACACAUAUUUGUCAACGAAAAACUUAAAUUUUAUUUAAUUUGAUAAAAAAAAGAAAAAAAACCUUUAACUUAAAAAAAAAAUUGAAUAACUAAAAUCAGCAUUUUAAGUAUCGAAAUCAUAUCAAUAAAAUAAAUUAUUUAUAUUAUAUAAUUUACAUAUAAUUAUACUACUAUAUUUAAAUUAAUCGGUUUGUUCUGUUUGACCAGUUUAUAUACUAAAUCAUAUUCAUAUACAAAAUUUAAUUUUACUAUGCAGUUUUAAAUUUCAAAUUUUUAAUUUAUAUAAUUAAUUUUGUAUAAUAUUAAAAAUCAUUUACUAAUUAUAUGUGAAAUUUUUUUUAUGGUAAUGGCAAUGCCCGUGCAUAGCACGGGCCAAAAUACUAGUAGUAGAUAAAACUAGGUCUGGGACGGAUCGGGUAUCCGGGUAAUUUUAAGAUAUCUGGAUCCGGAUCCUUAUCCGGCGAAUCCAUAAUUUUACUAUCCUUAUCCGGAUCCGGGGUUCGCGGAUAUCCGGGUGUCGGAUAUCCUUCUAAAAAUUAUAAUAUCCGGCGGAUAUCCGGAUC